UACGUAGGGGGCAAGCGUUGUCCGGAAUCAUUGGGCGUAAAGAGCGUGUAGGCGGCCCGAUAAGUCCGCUGUGAAAGUCCAGGGCUCAACCCUGGGAUGCCGGUGGAUACUGUCGGGCUAGAGUCCGGAAGAGGCGAGUGGAAUUCCUGGUGUAGCGGUGGAAUGCGCAGAUAUCAGGAGGAACACCGAUAGCGAAGGCAGCUCGCUGGGACGGUACUGACGCUGAGGCGCGAAAGCGUGGGGAGCGAACAGG
rnacentral:rRNA from 1 species